GAUAAACGCUGGCGGCGUGCUUAACACAUGCAAGUCGAACGAAGGUUCUCCUUCGGGGGUAACUUAGUGUUGGACGGGGGAGUAACGCGUGGGUAACCUGCCCCUUACAGUGGGACAACAGCUGUAAACGGAUGCUAGUACCGCAUAAGGCCUUAGCACUGCAUGGUGCAUAGGGAAAAGGAGCGAUCCUGUACAGGUUGGAUCCGCGUCGAUUAAGCCAGUAGGCAGGGUAACGGCAUACCAAAGCGAGGCUAAGUAACCGAGCUGAGAGGAUGUACGGACACACUGGGACUGAGACACAGCCCAGACUCCUACGGGAGGGAGGAGUGGGGAAUAUUGCACAAUGGAGGAAGCUCUGAUGGAGCGACGCCGGGUAAGUGAAGAAGUAAUUGGGUAAGUAAUGCUCAAGCAGCAGGGAAGAAAAUGACGGUACCUGACCAAGAAGCCCCGGCUAACUACGUG
rnacentral:rRNA from 1 species